GACGAACGCUGGCGGCGUGCCUAACACAUGCAAGUCGAACGGAGUUAUCGAAAGCUUGCUUUUGAUAACUUAGUGGCGGACGGGUGAGUAACGCGUGAGCAACCUGCCUUUCAGUGGGGAAUAACGUUCUGAAAAGAACGCUAAUACCGCAUAAUAUUAUUGAGUCACAUGAUUUGAUAAUCAAAGGAUUUAUUCGCUGAAAGAUGGGCUCGCGUCCGAUUAGAUAG
rnacentral:rRNA from 1 species